AUUGAACGCUGGCGGCAUGCUUUACACAUGCAAGUCGAACGGUAACGCGGGGGCAACCCUGGCGACGAGUGGCGAACGGGUGAGUAAUACAUCGGAACGUGCCCAGUAGUGGGGGAUAGCUCGGCGAAAGCCGGAUUAAUACCGCAUACGACCUACGGGUGAAAGCGGGGGAUCGCAAGACCUCGCGCUAUUGGAGCGGCCGGUGGCCGAUUAGCUUGUUGGUGGGGUAAAAGCCUACCAAGGCUACGAUCUGUAGCUGGUCUGAGAGGACGAACAGCGAGACUGGGACGGGGACAGGGCCCAGACUCCGACGGGAGGCAGAAGUGGGGAAUUUUGGACAAUGGGCGCAAGCCUGAUCCAGCAAUGCCGCGUGGGUGAUAAAGGCCUUCGGGUUGUAAAGCACUUUUAGUGGGAACGAAACGGUCCGGGCCAAUACCCUGGACUACUGACGGUACCCGCAGAAUAAGCACCGGCUAACUACGUGCCAGCAGCCGCCGUAA
rnacentral:rRNA from 1 species